AUAAUGGUCAGCUUCUCUUUCGACCGCUCUUCUUCUUCUUCUCUAGCAGGCUGGUUACGGCUAGGGUUAGGGUUUCGGUAGAGGAGGAGUAUUGUAGAGGAGGAGUUUAAAUACUCCUCUCCCUUCAAUCUGGAUCGUCCGUUCGAGGAUGCGUGAUCCAAUUUCUGUCGUUAGAUCCAUCUUAUUUGGAAGACAAAUCAGGACCGACCGAUCAAAUGCAUUAGGACCGUUCGAUCGCACCUAAAGAAAAAA
rnacentral:lncRNA from 1 species